GAUUUCGUAUAUUCGCGUGUAUGUGAUCAAAUACAGAUCUAUAUACGUGUGUAUUCGUAUACUGCCUUUAUGUGACGUCAGCUGAUUCACCGAAACAACAUUUGCCUUUUCUACAUUAUAUCAGUUCCAUCGCGAUAAGAAUUCCACACAAAAAGAAAGCUCGGUACUUGGAAAUACCGGUUCAAGGUCAUUUAAAAAAAUAUGUUUUAUAUAUAUAUAUAUGUACACCCAUGCGCGCGCGCGCACACACACACACAACGAACAAACAAAAGGUGAGACCAAUCCCUGACUUUGUGUCCUUUUGGUCCUUUCUUGGAAAUCCUACUAAUUAUGUUAGCGUUCCGUAAAAUACAAUAAUUAUUUAUCAUAAUGUUCAAAUCAAGCGGAGCUGGCGUAAGGCUUCGAUAGCUGAAUAACUGGAAAAGCGUAUAAUUUUCAGAAGCAUAAUAUUGUCUGGCCAAUCAUAUUAGAGAUGAAUUUCCCUGUGACUAAUCUCAUCCUCUUUUGUUUUAUGCUUUAAUAUUCACCAUUUUGAAAAUUUGUUAAAUUCAUGGAAUAUACAAUUUCAAGAUCUGCGCAAACUUUGAAUAAUUACAAUAACAAUAUGGAAACACAUUUAUCGGAUGUAUAAAAUGCGAUCGGAUGUAACAUGAGAAUCGAAAGUAACGUAAGAUGGUAUCGUUUAAUUGCUAGACAAGAAAAAUCAGUUUUCUGGUUUGUUUAUAAUAAAAAAGAAAACGCAUCUACGUUUUCUAAACUUUACAUGGAUAGCGAUCACGUGGUGAAUUAUCAAAGCUUGAAAGAGUGGGAAGGGGGAGAGGGGAGACCUGAACGUAUAUAAUCUUCAGCACAUAUUCCACCACCCAGUUCUGCUUCGACUUCGGACGUGUGAAUUGUGUCAAGCUUCCGAGGAGGGAAAGUUUUUGUUUGUUUGGUGCGCUCAUUGUAUGGAGCGAGAGAAGAGUAUAAAACACGGAGAGAGCCCUGUAGAGCCAAUAAGCAGCUGCAGGGAUGAGCAUGGCUUUGUGCCAACAGUGGGCCGUUGGGGAAGUGAAUGGCC